CAACCAACCCUAUGGAGGGGGAUAACCCCGGGAAACUGGGGAUAAUACCCCAUAGACUAUGGAAGCUGGAAUGCUCUGUAGUUGAAAGGUCCGCCGCCAUAGGAUGGGUCUGCGGCCGAUUAGGUUGUUGUUGGGGUAACGGCCCCAACAAGCCUGUAAUCGGUACGGGUUGUGGGAGCAAGAGCCCGGAGAUGGAUUCUGAGACACGAAUCCAGGCCCUACGGGGCGCAGCAGGCGCGAAAACUUUACAAUGCGGGAAACCGUGAUAAGGGAACUCCGAGUGCCCGUAAAAUCGGGCUGUCCAUCUGUUUAAAUAACAGGUGAAGAAAGGGCCGGGCAAGACCGGUGCCAGCCGCCGCGGUAAUACCGGCGGCUCGAGUGGUGGCCACUAUUACUGGGCUUAAAGCGUUCGUAGCUGGUCUGUUAAGUCUCUGGGGAAAUCUGCCGGCUUAACAGGCAGGCGUUCCAGGGAUACUGGCAGACUAAGGACCGGGAGAGGUGAGGGGUACUCCAGGGGUAGGAGUGAAAUCCUGUAAUCCUUGGGGGACCACCUGUGGCGAAGGCGCCUCACCAGAACGGCUCCGACAGUGAGGGACGAAAGCUGGGGGAGCAAACCGGAUUAGAUACCCGGGUAGUCCCAGCUGUAAACGAUGCGCGUUAGGUGUAUCGGUGACCACGAGUCACCGAGGUGCCGAAGAGAAAUCGUGAUACGUGCCGCCUGGGAAGUACGCUCGCAAGGCUGA
rnacentral:rRNA from 1 species